rnacentral:tmRNA from 1 species
GGGGGCGAAUUGGAUUCGACCGGGCAGCUUGAAGCGUUGGCGGCGUGUCGUGGUUGGUCAGCAGGCCACGUUAAAAGCCGACCACCAAUUAAAUGCCGAGCCUCGGCUCGCAAUGGCUGCUUAGUAAGAGCGGCCCCGGCUGAAGACCUUCGCCGAAGAGGUCUGACUGCCGGCUGCAAAUUCGGCUCGCUGCGGGUCAUUGUCGGGUACGCCCGCGGUCAGAACCUGUUCCCGACUGGUCGUUGCCAAGCCGUGUCGGUUGGGCCGGGCAGCGGCGAGAACCAAUCAACCGAAUACACACGUAGAUGCCGGCGUGGAAAUGUCGCGGGACGCGGGUUCGAUCCCCGCCGCCUCCACUG